rnacentral:lncRNA from 1 species
AGAGCAGUACCGGACAUGCCAGAAUCUUCUUGCCUUCAGAAACAAGGCAGCAGCUCGCAAAGGCAUGGUGAGCCUAGAAGCAUAGGGGCUCAGCCAAUCUUUAAUCAUGCAUGCGCAGCUGGGGCAUGCUCAUGUACAGUGAGUGACACUAGCAGCCUAUCUUUUGAGCCAAAAAGACAGGAGUGCUACUUUAAUCUUAAUCAACUCCGGCGCUCUAGAGCAUCUCCGACAUAUUAUCUAUUUAUUUUUACACCAAGUUAGAAAAAUAUUUUCUCUCCAUACUGAGUUUCUCAUUUCAACAGACUAUCCACUUCCCACUCUUUAAAUUUCAACAGCUAGGUUCCUCUAUAAAAAUAUACACUAUUCAUCCACUCCAACAUCCUCUCCAUUUCGCACUACAACAAUCUUUCCAUUUUACGCUCCC